rnacentral:misc_RNA from 1 species
UUUCAUUACAUUUUCUUCAAUCAGAUUUCUGAUUGAUGAAUCUUUCAAAUCUGGUUGAGAUUUGGAUGUUUGUUUCAUUUGUUGGAUGAUUUAAACGAUGAUUGCAGAUCCGAAUUUGGUUUACUACUCUUGUGUUGCCAAAGGAACAACUAUCCUUGCUGAGAUCAAUUCAAAAGAUGCCGAUCUUGGAUCCCUAGCUUUGAAAUGCCUUGAAAAGACUCCUCCUUUGCAUACCUUCUUCUCUCAUACUAUCCGAAACAGGACAUACACGUUCCUGAUUGAAAACCCAUAUGUGUUUUUCGCCAUAUUCGAUGAAAAAAUUGACAAAUCGGAUGGUCUUGCGUUUCUCAAAGGGGUUGAAGAGGCGUUUCGUGGAGUAAUUGAGAGAUCUUCUGGGAAGAAGCGUUUGGAUAAAUUGAAUUCGCAUUGCUUUCAGGGAGAGUUGAAUCCUGUUUUUCAUCAGCUGUUGGAUUCAAAUUUUGGUGUGGAUGAGGGUUCUAAUUCCCCUAGGAGUGAGCUGGAUCAUGGACGAAGCACGAGUUUGGAUUCUGUUAAAGGGAAGAAAAUUGGGUCAAUGCCAUUGCUUGCUGAUGCUGCGAGUAGCUUGAAGCUAAAAAAGAAGAGGCUUUUCGGUCAGUUUAAGAAGAGGAAUGAUGAGAUGUGUGAGAAGAGAGUUGAUGUUUCGGAUGAUGGGAUCAGAUUGAGCAGAGAUUUUUCAGUUACUAUGCAAAAGAAUGGAUUGAUUCAUGGAGAAGGAGGGCAUCAAAAAGCUAAGAAAGUUUGGAAGAAACAAGUUUGGGUUGUCUUGUCAUUGGAUUUAAUAGUCUGCACCAUUUUGUUCAUAGUUUGGUUGUGUGUUUGCAGGGGCUUCAAAUGCAUCGAUGCUUGAUUGAAAUUUGAUACUACUUGUGUUGUGUGUUUUUGCAUCUAUCGCUACGAAUAGAUGUUUUCCACUGAAUUCGAUACAUUGCACUCUGGAAGAUGAUUAAAUUACUUCAUGUGUUCACCGUUGUCACUCGAGCUACUUCUGUCAAAUUUGAAGUCUUUUUUUCUCAGUAUGGGGCCGAUUUGAUGUGUUUCUAAGAAACUUUUUAUUAAUGUGAUGUUUUUAAG